rnacentral:misc_RNA from 1 species
AUCGUGUCGGUCUUUCAUGCUG